ensembl:lncRNA
CGCACUACUCCGCCCGAGGCGUCCAGAGCCCAGCCCGGGGACCAUCCUAUUCCUCUAGGCUCCCGGCUCCAAGACGUCGGUUUUGUGUCUCUUAACGACCGCUGUUGGCGUACUCCCCAAAGCCAUUUCUACGUGUUCAUCCUCACCUUGGCGGGGGGACCACGGUCCCUGCCACGUCCCUCCUCGCGAGCGGCUGCGACCCGCCCCAGCCGCCCAAGAGCCGCGACUGUUGGAUCGAGGCAGCCCCCCGCUCGGGGUGUCCGCGGUCGCGAGCAGGGCCUCCGGCUCUGACGGCUGUUGGAUUCGUGGCUCUCCCCGUGCGCGGCAAAGAGCUGAAAACAUUCCCGGCCAAUGGAAGGUGGCAAGAGGAGCGGCCAGGCUGAGCGCAAGCCGCAUAGCGGCUCGUGUCCGAAUCAGCCAACGCUCCCAUUCCCAGAACAAUCCACAAGGACCUUAAAGCGGAUCCUGGUCUGCCUGAAGUUGGGCCAAUAACAUCUGAAAUCAGAAAAACCUUCAGACCUUUCAGCCCGCACUACCGCAUGCUGGACACGCAAGUAACUGAUCUCUUAGAAAAGUUACUGUAUCAGGUCCCUUGUCCCUUGCAGAGAUUCAGAUUAACACUUCAUAAAUAAGUUCUUUCUUUGUUGUACGUGAGGGAAGAGUUUAAUGAGGAGAGGAGAAGCGAAGCUGUCUUUUUUUUGUGGAGGGGGGAUUUAGUCCUAUUUUAAAAGAAUCAAUCUGGUUUUACUAAUGAAUUAAUAAGCCGUUAACAUACCAUAAAUAAUAUAUUCAGAAAUAAUAUAUUUUCAAACGCUUAAUCCCUACUACAUGCAAAGCACAAUGCUGACCCCUUUGGGGUAUCACAAAGAUAUAUUGCAAAGUUUUUAUUUUUGGUAUGUUGAGGUAUCUAGUCUCAUAGGAAAAAGUUUGUAACUUAUGGGAAGCUUCAACGUUUGAGAGGUUCCUGUUGGCCCUAGGAAACAAAAGUUUUAACCAAUAGCCUUCCAUGAAGGAGCAUAUUCCUUAUUACAGAAUAUAUAAAUAGGACCUUCAAACGUUAGUAAGUUAAUUCCACUUCUUUGUAUUUUUAAAUUAGUUAAAUAAGGAGGCCAUUUGACGAGGUGGUUCUUGUGCCCUGAAAAGCCUGUAUAAGCAAACCAAAACCAAAGUGUGCAAAUGCCUCAGUGUUAAGAAAUGGAAACCUAAGGACAACCAAUCAUAAGCAAGCAGACUUUUCCAAAUAAGGCACCAGCUUACGCUUGUGAAAGAAAAAACAAAAUGGUGUGGGUAGGGCUUCCCUGGUGGCACAGUGGUUGAAAACCUGCCUGCCAAUGCAGGGGACACGGGUUUGAGCCCUGGUCUGGGAAGAUCCCACAUGCCGCGGAGCAACUGGGCCUGUGAGCCACAACUACUGAGCCUGCGCGUCUGGAACCUGUGCUCCGCAACAAGAGAGGCCGCGAUAGUGAGAGGCCCGCACACCGUGAUGAAGAGUGGGCCCCGCUCGCCGCAACUAGAGAAAGCCCUCGGACAGAAACGAAGACCCAACACAGCCAAAAAUAAAUAAAUAAAUAAAAAAUAAAAAUACAAAAAAAACAUGGUGUGGGUAUUGCUAAGAGAGCUCUCUGAAAUGGAGCCCGGAGGCCAUUGAAGAAGUAUGACUAAUGCACAUCUCAGCCUGGGUGGAAUCUGAACUUAGACCAUUUGUUGUCUUAACACAGGCAACCAGAACAUCUGCCCAAUGUUCCAGAAACUCAAGAUAUUUAUUGGACCCUUACCCUAAAAUAACUCCUGAAAGAGUAUCCCUUAAGAGUAAAUAUUUCCUUUCUUGUGUCCAGUCAAUCAUAAUUCUUGCCAGACAACUUUAACAACUUCGUGGUUGUGUGUGACUCUCUCUUCCCCAAAACACUGGGUUUUACCCGAAUCUGUGUUUCUCUUUUUUUUUUCUUUUUUUUUUUUUUUUUUGGCCACACUGCUUAGGGGAUCUCAGUUCCCCGACGAGGGAUUGAACCCAGGCUGCGGCAGUGAAAGCCAGGAAUCCAAACCACUAGGCCACCAGGGAACUCCCAAAUCUGUGUCUCCUGCGUUGCAAUUCCUAAGACCCCAAAUAAACUCUUUUUGUAUUUGCAACCUUCUGCAUUUCUUUGUCAACAAGCUAUAGCCACUCAAGUAAUUUCCUUGCUUUGCUUUGGCGUCUUCCCUGAAAAAUAAUUUUCAGUAGAGCACUUUUAUGGAUACUGGAUUCCAGUCCUGUUCAUUGCCUCUGAGGUUUUGUCAUCUACCUACAAAUUGGACUGGAUCCUGAAUUCUUCUAGGUUUCUCCAAUAUCUGAGUCACCAAGCUAACAUUUCCACAUUUCUCCCACUCUUCUGACUUAGAAUCACUAAGAACAAAAACUGCCCUUUUCUCAAAGCUCUGAAAGCUGAAGCUGGAUGACUUGAUAUAAACUUCAGAGAAAUCGCCUCAACAGCUCAUGCCCAGACAAACUUUGUGCUUUUUGCUCUGUGAGCCACUCAGAAAGUUCACUGGAACACCUUAUGACAUCAACCAGAGAUAACAGGAAAAUCUGUCAGAUUGUCACUGCCUCUCCUCAUUCUGACUGAAGAUGCUUCAAGCCUAACAUCUAGAAAUCUUCUUGACUAACUACUCCCUGGACUCAAAACCUUUGUUUAUAGUCUGUUCUAACCAUUAACCUUGUUUUUCUUUUGUUUCCAUUGUAAUGUGUCUUAUUAAAUACAUGAUUGCUUGCACCAU